UACGUAGGGGGGCAAGCGUUGUCCGGAAUCAUUGGGCGUAAAGCGCGCGUAGGCGGCCAGAUAAGUCCGGUGUGAAAGUCACAGGCUCAACCUGUGAAUGCCGCUGGAAACUGUCUGGCUAGAGUCCGGAAGGGGCGAGUGGAAUUCCUGGUGUAGCGGUGAAAUGCGCAGAUAUCAGGAGGGAACACCGGUGGCGAAGGCGGGUCUCUGGGCCGAUACUGACGCUGAGGAGCGAAAGCGUGGGGAGCGAACAGG
rnacentral:rRNA from 1 species